rnacentral:rRNA from 1 species
AGAAUGAACGCUGGCGGCAUGCCUAACACAUGCAAGUCGAACGAGACCUUCGGGUCUAGUGGCGCACGGGUGCGUAACGCGUGGGAAUCUACCCUUGGGUUCGGAAUAACAGUGAGAAAUUACUGCUAAUACCGGAUAAUGUCGCAAGACCAAAGAUUUAUUGCCCAAGGAUGAGCCCGCGUAAGAUUAGCUAGUUGGUGGGGUAAAGGCCUACCAAGGCGACGAUCUUUAGCUGGUCUGAGAGGAUGAUCAGCCACACUGGGACUGAGACACGGCCCAGACUCCUACGGGAGGCAGCAGUGGGGAAUAUUGGACAAUGGGCGAAAGCCUGAUCCAGCAAUGCCGCGUGAGUGAUGAGGCCUUAGGGUUGUAAAGCUCUUUUACCCGGGAAGAUAAUGACUGUACCGGGAGAAUAAGCCCCGGCUAACUCCGCGCCAGCAGCCGC